rnacentral:rRNA from 1 species
AGUGAACGCUGGCGGUAGGCCUAACACAUGCAAGUCGAACGGCAGCACAGUAAGAGCUUGCUCUUACGGGUGGCGAGUGGCGGACGGGUGAGGAAUACAUCGGAAUCUACUUUUUCGUGGGGGAUAACGUAGGGAAACUUACGCUAAUACCGCAUACGACCUACGGGUGAAAGCAGGGGAUCUUCGGACCUUGCGCGAUUGAAUGAGCCGAUGUCGGAUUAGCUAGUUGGCGGGGUAAAGGCCCACCAAGGCGACGAUCCGUAGCUGGUCUGAGAGGAUGAUCAGCCACACUGGAACUGAGACACGGUCCAGACUCCUACGGGAGGCAGCAGUGGGGAAUAUUGGACAAUGGGCGCAAGCCUGAUCCAGCCAUACCGCGUGGGUGAAGAAGGCCUUCGGGUUGUAAAGCCCUUUUGUUGGGAAAGAAAAGUAGCAGGUUAAUACCCCGCUGUUCUGACGGUACCCAAAGAAUAAGCACCGGCUAACUUCGU